CAAUAGCGUAUAUUUAAGUUGUUGCAGUUAAAAAGCUCGUAGUUGGAUUUCGGUUGAGAACGGCCGGUCCGCCGUUUGGUGUGCACUGGCUGGUUUCAACUUCCUGUAGAGGACGCGCUCUGGCUUCACGGCUGGACGCGGAGUCUACGUGGUUACUUUGAAAAAAUUAGAGUGUUCAAAGCGGGCUUACGCUUGAAUAUUUCAGCAUGGAAUAACACUAUAGGACUCCUGUCCUAUUUCGUUGGUCUCGGGACGGGAGUAAUGAUUAAGAGGAACAGUUGGGGGCAUUCGUAUUUCAUUGUCAGAGGUGAAAUUCUUGGAUUUAUGAAAGACGAACUUCUGCGAAAGCAUUUGCCAAGGAUGUUCUCAUUAA
rnacentral:rRNA from 1 species